rnacentral:rRNA from 1 species
UAUCUGAAUCUUAACCUGAUGCCCAUUUGGGGCGGCAGUAUACUGUUAGAGAAAUAAAGCCUUCUUCCGAGAAGGUUUUAUUUUCGACAGUAAUGUCGGAAGAUCCUGAUAUUUGACAACUGAAUACAUGUAGAAAAUCUACAAGUUGCAAAAAAUCAAUAGUAAGCAAGUAUCAAACCAUGCUUGUAAGCGAGCGAAUUUUGCUUGUGAACAAGUUUUAUGGUCAAGCUACUAAGGGCAUGCGGUGAAUGCCUUGGCACUUGAAGGCGAUGAAGGACGUGAAAAGCUGCGAAAAGCGACGGUGAGGAGCACUUAUCCAUUGACCCGUCGAUGUCCGAAUGGGGAAACCCGG